AGUUGGUCCGAAGGCUGUGGGUUAUUGUUAAGUGUUUAGCAUUUGUCUCCCCCCACACCCUAACUUGACUAGCUUGAG
ensembl:misc_RNA Y_RNA Y RNA